CAGCAGUGAGGAAGGUGGAUAUGUUAAUAGCAUAUUCAUUUGACGUUAGCUGCAGAAGAAGCACCGGACUAACUCCGUCGCCAGCAGCCGCGGUAAUACGGGAGGGUGCGAGACGUUAAGUACGGAAUUACGUGGGACGUAAAGCGCAUGCAGGUGGUUUAGUUAAGUCAGAUGUAGAAACGGCCCGGGGCUACAACCGUACGGAAUUGCUAUUUAGAAACGUGGACAAACUAGAGUACUGUAGAGGGGGUAGAAUUUCAGGUGUAGCGGUGAAAUGCGUAGAGAUCUGAAGGAAUACCGGUGGCGAAGGCGGCCCCCUGGACAGAUACUGACACUCAGAUGCGAAAGCGUGGGGAGCAAACAGGAUUAGAUACCCUGGUAG
rnacentral:rRNA from 1 species